GGGUGCGAUUAUAUCAGCACUAGUGCACUGAAUCCCAUCAAUACUCUGCAGUCAAGAGUGCUUAGGAGAGUGUAGUACUCGGAUGCGCGACCUCGAGGGAAGGCCUCGUGUAGCACCCU
rnacentral:rRNA from 1 species